AAGGAUGAUCAAGAAUUGGGAAAAAUCCCUUUUUGAUCUGAUUAGACAUAAAGGUUUAAAUAAGUCAGUUUAAAUAAUUAGACAAUUUAAACCCAGACAAUUUAAACCUUGUGCAUAUGGUGCUAACUCUUAAUGAAACAUUCUCGCAAAAGAGAAGCCUCUUUGCAAAAAGAGGUCCCCAUCUCUUGAGGCCCCUACCUUAGUUGAGAAGUCGUUCCAUGAGGGCUUAGUGCCAUGUGUUAACUUAUUAUAGGCAGACUAGCCGUCUUCGUUUCUCUUUCUUCAGAUGAUGAUCCCAAGCCUUCUGGCGGUCUAUGCAAGUAAGCUCUCAUCAAAAGCUUUAAGGAAAGCUCUUUGUUUUUUGAAAGGGUGCUUUUAUGAGAUAGAGAUUUUUUAGAUAAUGCUUUUUUAGAUAAUGCUGGGGAAGGUUUUCCGGUUUAUCUCGGAGGGCUUGUAGCUCAGUUGGUUAGAGCGCGCCGCUUGAUAASCGUGAGGUCGGAGGUUCAAGUCCUCCCAGGCCCACCAAUUUACCUAUCCAUUUGCCUUUAUCUGUUUAUUUGCCGAUUUAUCGGUCCAUUGAAUUUAAGUGUUGGUAGCAGUUUUAUAAUGAUGAGAAAUCAUGCUUAUAAAAGAACGCCUUAUAAAAGGCUUGUUUUUAAAAUGUGACGCUUAUCCAUUUCGCCUUAGGCAAGAGAAACUUCAAGCGGUUCAAAUACAAAAGGCUUUAAGUUUUGCAAAACACUUUGAAUUUUGCAAAACACUUUGAAUUUUAAAGUGAUCCAAGUUCGUGAUCUCGAAUUUAAAAGUUUCGAAUGCUUUAUCCUUUUUUGGGGGCCGUAGCUCAGCUGGGAGAGCACCUGCUUUGCAAGCAGGGGGUCGUCGGUUCGAUCCCGUCCGGCUCCACCAUUUAGAUCAUCAUCAUUGUUGUGAGAACACUCUUUAGUGAGAGGUUAAGUAGCCUUUCGCUUGUUCUAUUGAAAUUGUGAAUAGAAGGUAUAUUCAGACAUGUUUCUUUUGAAAUGUUUGUUUUGAAGAAUGAAAUCCGUUUUUCAAAAAGCAGAUAUUCAAAAAUCUGAUUAAUGGAAAAAUUGAUCAGUGGAUUAAAAUCUGUAGACAGAUAUUGGAAAAGGAAGCUUGUGUCGCAAGGGAAUGCUCAAAGCCCUUGCAUAUGAUUGGAAGCUUAACCGCGCCAUUGAAUAUAUCUCGAGAAGCUGGUCUUUUCUGCUGAUAUUUUUGUUUAUUUUGCACAAGAUUAACAGUGAAUGAAUAUUGGCGAUGAGAACGAUCAAGUGUCUUAAGGGCAUUUGGUGGAUGCCUUGGCA
rnacentral:tRNA from 1 species